GCGUCGGCGCCGGCGAGUGCUGGCACAAGCACGGCAGCUUCCUCGACCACCUCGUCGAAGUCUACCGCAUCCUCAAGAUCUGGUCGGCGCCGGACGUCGUCGCCCGCUGCGGCCUCUACCACUCCGCCUACUCCAACUCCUACGUCAACCUCGCGAUCUUCGAUCCGGCCACCUCCCGCGAUCACGUCCGCGAUCUGAUCGGCGGCCCUGCGGAGCGCCUGGUCCACCUCUUCUGCGUCGUUCCCCGGCAGUCGCUGAUCCACGACGAUCUCCUCUUCCGGUACGCCGACGCGGAGCUCACGGAGCACUUGGAGCUCUCGGAGGCCUCCGCCGUGAACGCGAUGGAGAAGGGGAUCUUCGAUCCCGAGGAACCGU
rnacentral:lncRNA from 1 species